GACAAUUUGUCCGAGUGGUUAAGGAGAGUGACUCGAAAUCACUUGGGUUCUGCCCGCGCAGGUUCAAAUCCUGCAGUUGUCG